GGAGCAUGUGUUCUUAUUACCAGUUGGAACAUCUUCUGGGUAUAUGCCCAGGAGAGGUAUUGCUGGAUCCUCUGGUAGUACUAUUUCCAAUUUUCUGAGGAACCGCCAGACUGAUUUCCAGAGUCAUUGUACAAGCUUGCAAUCCCACCUACAAUGGAGGAGUGUUCCUCUUUCUCCACAUCCUCACCAGCAUCUGCUGUCACCUGAAUUUUUGAUCUUAGCCAUUCUGACUGGUGUGAGGUGGAAUCUCAGGGUUGUUUUGAUUUGCAUUUCCCUGAUGAUUAAGGAUGUUGAACAUUUUUUCAGGUACUUCUCAGCCAUUCAAUAUUCCUCAGUUGAGAAUUUUUUGUUUAGCUCUGUGCCUGAUCUUUUAAUGGGGUUAUUUGGUUUUCUGGAGUCCAUCUUCUUGAAUUCUUUAUAUAUAUUGGAUAUUAGUCCCCUAUCUGAUUUAGGAUUGAUAAAGAUUCUUUCCCAAUCUGUUGGUGGCCUUUUUGUCUUAUUGACAGUGUCUUUUGCCUUACAGAAGCUUUGUAAUUUUAUGAGGUCCUGUUUGUCAAUUCUCGAUCUUACAGCACAAGCCAGGAAUUUUCCCCCUAUGCCCAUAUCUCCAAGGCUUUUUCCCACUUUCUCUUCUAUAAGUUUCACUGUCUCUGGUUUUAUGUGGAGUUCCUUGAUCCACUUAGAGUUGACCUUAGUACAAGGAGAUAAGAAUGGAUCAAUUUGCAUUCUUCUACAUGAUAACUGCCAGUUGUGCCAGCACCAUUUGUUGAAAAUUCUGUCUUUUUUUCCACUGGAUCAUUUUAGCUCCCUUGUCAAAGAUCAAGUGACCAUAGGUGUGUGGGUUCAUUUCUGGGUCUUCAAUUCUAUUCCAUUGAUCUAUCUGUCUGUCACUGUACCAGUACCAUGCAGUUUUUAUCACAAUUGCUCUGUAGUAAAGCUUUAGAUCAGGCAUGAUGAUUUCACCAGAGAUUCUUUUAUCAUUGAGAAGAGUUUUUGUUAUCUUAGGUUUUUUUGUUAUUCCAGAUGAAUUUGCAAAUUGCCCUUUCUAAUUUGUUGAAGAAUUGAGUUGGAAUUUUGAUGGGGAUUGCAUUGAAUCUGUAGAUUGCUUUCGGCAAGAUAGUUAUUUUCACUAUAUUGAUCCUGCCAAUCCAUGAGCAUGGGAGAUCUUUCGAUCUUCUGAGAUCUCCUUUGAUUUCUUUCUUCAGAGACUUGAAGUUCUUAUCAUACAGAUAUUUCACUUCCUUAGUUAGAGUCACACCAAGAUAUUUUAUAUUAUUUGUGACUAUUGUGAAGGGUGUUAUUUCCCUCAGCCUGUUUAUCCUUUGUGUAGAGAAAGGCCAUUGACUUGUUGGAGUUAAUUUUAUAUCCAGCUACUGCACUGAAGCUGUUUAUCAGGUUUAGGAGUUCUCUGGUGGAAUUUUUAGGGUCACUUAUAUAUACUAUCAUAUCAUCUGCAAAUAGUGAUAUUUUGACUUCUUCCUUUCCAAUUUGUAUUCCCUUGACCUCCUUUCGAUGUCUAAUUGCUCUGGCUAGGACUUCAAGUACUAUAUUGAAUAGGGAGGGAGAAAGUGGGCAGCCUUGUCUAGUCCCUGAUUUUAGUGGGAUUGCUUCCAGCUUCUCUCCAUUUACUUUGAUGUUGGCUACUGGUUUGCUGUAGAAUGCUUUUAUUAUGUUUAGGUAUGGGCCUUGAAUUCCUGAUCUUUCCAAGACUUUUAUCAUGAAUGGGUGUUGGAUUUUGUCAAAUGCUUUCUCAGCAUCUAACGAGAUGAUCAUGUGGUUUUUUUUUCUUUGAGUUUGUUUAUAUAGUGGAUUACAUUGAUGGAUUUCCAUAUAUUAAACCAUCCCUGCAUCUCUGGGAUGAAGCCUACUUGAUCAUGAUGGAUGAUCGUCUUGAUGUGUUCUUGGAUUUGGUUUGCAAGGAUUUUAUUGAGUAUUUUUGCAUUGAUAUUCAUAAGGGAAACUGGUCUGAAGUUCUCUAUCUUUGUUGGGUCUUUAUGUGGUUUAGGUAUUAGAGUAAUUGUGGCUUCGUAGAAUGAAUUGGGUAGAGUACCAUCUGUUUCUAUUUUGUGGGAUAGUUUGAGAAGAACUGAAAUUAGAUCUUCUUUGAAGGUCUGAAAGAACUCUACACUAAACCCAUCUGGUCCUGGGAUUUUUUUUUUUUUUUUUUUUUUUUUUUGGUUGGGAGACUAUCAAUGACUGUUUCUAUUUCUUUAGGGGAUAUAGGACUGUUUGGGUCAUUAAUCUGAUCCUGAUUUAACUUUGGUACCUGGUAUCUGUCUAGAAAUUUGUCUGUUUCAUCCAGGUUUUCCAGUUUUGUUAGUAUAGCCUUUUGUAGAAGGAUCUAAUGGUGUUUUGUAUUUCCUCAGGAUCGGUUGUUAUGUCUCCCUUUUCAUUUCUGAUUUUGUUAAUUAGGAUGCUGUCCCUGUGCCCUCUAGUGAGUCUGGCUAAGGAUUUAUCUAUCUUGUUGAUUUUCUCAAAGAACCAGCUCCUAACUUGGCUGAUUCUUUGAAUAGUUCUUUUUGUUUCCACUUGUUGAUUUCGCCCUGAGUUUGAUUAUUUCCUGCCCUCUACUCCUCUUGGGUGAAUUUGCUUCCUUUUGUUCUAGAGCUUUUAGGUGUGCUGUCAAGCUGCUAGUGUAUGCUCUCUCUGGUUGGGAUUUGAGUGUGGAACACACACUCUCAACAGCAGCGAGCUGUAGUGUGGUAAAAUGUCUCUAGGAGACAAAUUGUGGCAUGAGUCUUACUUAUUCAUAGUGUCUGCUGGGUAUUUCUACUUCUAGAGUAUAUUUUCAUCCUCUCUCCUUGAGCCAGAGCUGCACUUGUGGCUCACUUUGGGAACAGAAUAAAAAGGUGAUGGAUUGGGACCCUUGAGGCAUGACCUUAAAUGAAGUAGCUGGCAGUUUCCAUUUUCCCACUCCUGGAAGCCAUCUAUCAAACCAUAACAAAUCCCAGACCAAGCAUGUGGGGGGGGGGUGAUAAUUGGCUACAGAGAGGUAGGGUGGGGCAGGGAAGGGUUAUCUUGGAUGGUCCUGUUUCCCUGUCAAACUCCAAACCACAUCCAGCUGCAUGCCGGGACCACACAGGACAAAAUGCCAAGCCUCUCCUCUGAGCUCAGCUCACAGAAUACUGAGAAACAAUCAUUAUCCUAGUUGGCUUAAGGUAUGAGAUCUAGGAUGGUUUGCAAAAGGAAACCCACAUAAACAUGCUUUGGAAUAUCAUGCUUUGGAAAAACAGAUUGACUGCUUCUAAAUGCUUUGUGGAGAUCCACUUACUUCUUUGGCUACUUAGCACCCAUCCUUCAAUGUAUUCCAUAACAGAACCCAGAAUUGCCUCCACACACCCCCCCUUGACUUACAGUGUGGCCUCUGUGGGGCUCCCCUUCACCAUCCAUAGACAGACGACUCGGGUCCACACCUGAUCCCCCUGGGACUGGUCCAGUCUGGGCCAUGGCUUAGCAGUGUAGUCAUAGCGGCUGUGGAUCCCAGGCAAGCACAGUUGCCUCUGGAAGCCCUUAUUUCCCUCCAGCCUGCUAUGCAUAGAUGGAACAGAACUUAAGAGGCUGGGAAUUAAACAAAUGUCCCAGGAUGAGGGAUGAGAGAUGGAGAGAAGCAACCCCAGGUCCUGGAUCGACCCUGGACUGUCUGAAUGAUAAGUCAAGGCAGGAUUUGUGUUUUUAGUUUUCUGCUUAAGUCAGUUGAGUUGGGCUUAUAUUUCAUUCCCUUUAACCAAGAUUCCUAACAAAUGCAAGGUCUCUUUCCAUCAGGGAAAGCCUGUUUGAGGAAGAGCGAACAUAAAACAAUCCCAGAGAAGAGAGGAAAUAAAGGGAUCGGAGAAGCUGAUGAGAAAGUCAACAAUCACAACAUCUCCACAGUUGAACCCGUCCACCUCACAGCUCCAGGAAAGGCAAUCCCAUGACUUAUGACUAUCACUCUUGGAUGUGGUUGACUGACUACUUCAUGGAGACAUUAUGUGGUGGGAAGGACUGACUGAGACUUAUUUGCUGAGCCAUGCAACACUUGAAGGAGGCUUUGUGUAGUGAGAAGUCACAUGUACCAUUGGGUUAAUUAUCUUAACAUCACAACAUGUAUUAGCUCAUUAAUCUGCAAUUUGUAUGCCAGCUUCAUCAGGUCAGUGGAGAAGGUCUAAGCCUAGAGGUCAGGAGCUGCCUGGGCUCCUCUCCGGUCAGCAGCUGACACUGGCUGACUGCCAUUAGCACAGACCUUAGCUGGAGCUAUCUGAUAAGACAGCCAUGUAUGACCACUCCACGAGGCCACUUAGAUUCCUUACAGCAUUGCGCUAGGUCAAAGGUGUCUCGGGAGAGUCGGGGAGAUGCUAUACCUUCUAAUAUCACCUAGCCUUGAAAGUCACCUAAUGUCCUCCUGAAAGUCACUUAAAGUUGAGAGGAGCCAUGACUCACAACCAUGGGUUGAAGGAAGACACACUGGCUGAGACCCUUGGGAGCCUUUGACCAACCCUCCAGCUCCUUCUCCACUUAGCUGUCACACAGUCACAUUUUGAGAGUGUAGAAGAACAAGGCAGAAGUGGACUACAUCCAUCCUUGAGUUAUCAGAAGAUGGCAUGGAAAGCCGAGAACAUCACCUUCCUGGGAAAAAGGAAUCGCUCCUUCAGCAAAAGGCACACGAGGACAACGCAAGGUGGGCAACAGCAGUGGGUGUGGCCUAGUGCUCUGUCACUAACACUUUUCCUAAUGUUCCACUUAUUUCUUAAGCACAUAAGUACUUUGGCUACAUUUUUACUACUUUGAACUAUGUUCAUGAAAGAAUGGAUACGUGCUCCUCAAGAUAUGGGGUUGCUCAUACACGAAUGUUAUCACAUAUCUUAUUUUUUAUUAGAUAUUUUCUUCAUUUACAUUUCAAAUGCUAUCCUGAUAGUCCCCUAUACCCUCCCUCCGCCCUGCUUCCCAACCCACCCACUCCCUCUUCCUGGCCCUGGCAUUCCCUUGUACUGGGGCAUAUAAUCUUUGCAAGACCAAGCGUCUCU
rnacentral:lncRNA from 1 species